UCUCACGCUCGCUCACCUCCGCGCCGCUGCGGGAUCACUACCGCCUGCGGAACACCUCCGGAAAGAGACAGCGCGAAUCCUACUACAGCGAGGGCUGAGCUCAUGAAUAUUCAUCGCGGCGCGCUAGGUCAUGAAUAUUAAUUUGGCCGUGGUGACGUUGUUUGGUGACUGUCGUUGGCCCAGCUAGUCAGUUCAGUUGAUUGAUUGAUUGAUUGAUUCUAAUAGUCUAAGCCCCUGUUAUUUAUUUAUUUAUUUAUUUUUUAUUUAUUUAUUUAUUUAUUUAUUUUUGCUUUCUAAUAGCAUGAGCCCGUUAUUUAUUUAUUUAUUUAUUUAUUUAUUUAUUUAUGCUUUCUAAUAGUCUAAGCCCCUGUUAUUUAUUUAUUUAUUUAUUUAUUUAUUUAUGCUUUCUAAUAGUAUGAGCCCCUGUUAUUUAUUUAUUUAUUUAUUUAUUUAUACUUUCUAAUAGUCUAAAAGUUUUUUUUUUUUUUUUUACUGUUUCCGCCUCUGGAUGCCGAGGUAACUAAGCAUUACACAGAGGCUUCAGUCUGGAUCCAGUCUUUAACGAAGAUCUGUGAUGACAUAGAUGUUGAUAGUUUAGUCUUCUUUGAGCAUUCAGUCACGCUAGGUAGCCUAAUUAAUAUUCAUGAUACAUUCUUGACGCCAAAUUGCAUCAAUAAAAAGUUUCCCCGUUUCAUCGGGUUGUGUGUGCUGCUUGCUUUGUUUGUUUGUUUACUGUUCUCAAAAUGUAAAAGCUGAUAUAUCAAAUACCAUUUUGAAAGAAUUUUGAAAUGAACCAUUCUCUUCUGUCUCUGUCAUGACUGAUGAUCUCUAUCUGUCUCUCUCUCUCUCUCUCACACACACACACACACACACACACACGACCAAUAGCCUUGUAAAACACUUUAAUUGCAUUUUUUUCCCACAAUGUAGCCUAUCAAUAGCCUAUGGCCUACAACGAACAACCGUUAAUAGCCUAAAUCUUCAUAAAGAUUUAAAAAAAUAAGUCGAAUCUUGAUUAAAUUGGCUUUAUGUAUAAAAGAAUUUCGCAAGAAUUUAUAUGUAAUUUACGAUAUAAUCUCUGUUUGUAUUCACCUCUGUAAAACAAAGUAAAAGCAAAAAGGCCAGCACUGCAGUAGCCACUGGAGAAAAAAAACUAUCCCUCGACCAGCAGGUGGAGCCAUUCCAUAAGAUUUGACAGCUAAAGGUGGCCCUCUGUAGUUCUGUGCUUUUAUUCUGAUGUGUGACUUUUGCAAGAAGCCAGACUAAUACAACAAAAGUGUUUAAUUAAAUUUGAGGAGAAAAUCAGAAAGGAUAACAAAAUAAAAACAAACAUUUAUUAACA
ensembl:lncRNA